rnacentral:misc_RNA from 1 species
GAUGAAGAACGUAGCGAAAUGCGAUAAGUAGUGUGAAUUGCAGAAUUCAGUGAAUCAUCGAAUCUUUGAACGCACAUUGCGCCCCUUGGUAUCCCGAGGGGCAUGCCUGUUCGAGCGUCAUUUCACCACUCAAGCCUGGCUUGGUGUUGGGCGACGUCCUCUUUGGGGACGCGCCUCGAAACGCUCGGCGGCGUGGCACCGGCUUUAAGCGUAGCAGAAUCUUUCGCUUUGGAAGUCGGGGCCCCGUCUGCCGGAAGACCUGCUCGCAAGGUUGACCUCGGAUCAGGCAGGGAUACCCUCUGAACUUAAGCAUAUCAAUAAGCGGAGGA